ensembl:lncRNA
GUUAAUUGUUUACUCCAUGUGUAACUCUGUGUUGUUGUCUGUUCACACUGCUAUGCUUUAUCUUGGCCAGGUCGCAGUUGCAAAUGAGAACUUGUUCUCAACUAGCCUACCUGGUUAAAUAAAGGUGAAAUAAAAAUUUAAAAUAAAAAGCCAAACAUAAUGUUGCCCCCAUUAUUACCCAAAUAAUGAUCAUGAUCAACGGACCAGCCAGUCUGGCAUUUGCCCAAACUGCCCAAUGGCCCAUCCAUUUCUUUUUACAGUGACACAUACCAAACACAAACAUCCCCAAAAAUGAGGGUAAGGACAUGAGCAAUAUUUGCAGGUCGACACCUCAAUGUGAUAAUGUAAAAAAGAAAAAAGAAUUAAGCAAUUUCCAGAGUUGGACAUUUCAUCAUACUAACUUAGUCAUUCUAUCUUCAGAAGUUGGUAAAAGUGUGUCCCUGUCGAUAAAUAAAGACAUUAGUCAAACGAAGCCAUUCGAGACAAUGCAUUCAUCCACAUUUGAGUAUAGUAACUAAUACGACUCCAUACUUGACCCGUCUUACUGGUUUGAUUGUUCUCAGCGACUGUCUGUUCAACAAGCUCUCACAGUCUCACUGCAGAAUUAGACAUUUAUCCACGUUGCUCCAAAAGUCCCAUUUCAAAGUUGCCCUUCCUGCUCUGUAACAUUUCAUUUCUACAAACGUCAAAUUUCAAAGUUAAAGGUGAAGUUUAGGCAGUCAUUCCGAAUGGUUAAGGUAACCUAAAGGUUAAGGGAUAGGUAAAAACAUUUUUUAAAGGAUAGGUUAAAAAAAAGGAUAGGUAAAAAAAAGGGAUAGGUAAGAAAAAAGGGAUAGGUAAAAAAAAGGGAUAGGUACAAAAGGAUAGGUAAAAAAAAAAGGGAUAGGUAAAAAAAAGGCAGUCAUUCCGAAUGGUUAAGGUAACCUAAGGGAUAAGGGAUAGGUUAAAAAAAAGGGAUAGGUAAAAAAGGGAUAGGUAAAAAAGGGAUAGGUGAGAAAAAAGGGAUAGGUAAAAAAAAAAGGGAUAGGUAAAAAAAAAGGGGGAUAGGUAAUAAAAAAAAAAAGGGGAUAGGUAAAAAAAAAAAAAAAAACUAGCCAGAAUGGUGGGAUUACACCCAUGUGCCAUCCCCAUCCACAAUGCCCUCGCAAAAACCAAGUCUACUAGAUGGUAAUAGUGUUGCCACUAGUAUCUGGUUUUGGAGGCUGUGUGUGUGUGUGUGUGUGUGUGUGUGUGUGUGUGUGUGUGUGUGUGUGUGUGUGUGUGUGUGUGUGUGUGUGUGUGUGUGUGUGUGUGUGUGUGUGUGUGUGUGUGUGUGUGUGUGUGUGCGGAUUUCACAGGUGUGUGACAGAUUCUGCUAUAAUAUUUAGAUUUACCUGCGGCAAUGCACCAAAUUCAGGUUUCAGCAGUGGAUCCUGCCUUGAUAAAUCGACCUGCUGAAGGACAAACUGGGUUGUCUGGGCUUAUCGCCAUACAGAUGGCUCUCAGUGUUCAGUGGGGUUUGGCGGUGGCUCGCGCCUGGACGUGCUACGGUGGUGAUGAAGAAAUGCUGGCUGAUCCCCAGUCAGGGAGAAGCAGUAACUGAAAGAUGGGGAAUAUAGGGAUUAAAACCUCUCCAGUGGGAGAGAGAUAAAGAGAGAAAUGGGUAUAGUCUUCAUUUACUGCUUUCACGUGGGUAGGUAUGUCCACAUUUCACCAUAUGUUAAAAUAUUAAAUCAGCUGUGUUUGUUACUUCUAGACAGGAACGAAAGACUGCACAUAGAUUGGCCACCUCUGUUUUUGUAGGUCAAGACUCACGGCAUGGGUACAUGGCCAUCUAAACCUAUACAAUACAAGUUGCUCAUUUAUUGGUGCUUGGGAGAUGUGGUCCCACUAUUCCCUCUUGGCUUAUGUGGACAUCUCAGACCUAGAAGUGGCGUUCCAUUAGUGGCUCAGUGAGGGUAAACUGACUUGGGCCCAUAUCCACAAAGUAUCUCAGAGUAGGAGUGCAGAUCUAGGAUCUGUCCAUUUAGUCUUAUCCAUUAUGUUUCUUGAAAAAGACACAACAGAUCCUAGAUCAGCACUCCUACUCUGAAACACUUUACGGUCCUACAAGUCCCCACACCCUCCCUCCCGGAACCAGGCCCCAGACCAUAGAUCCCAGCGUCAGAUAAACUAGGUCUGAAGAGUUUAUUAAUUAAAGCCUGAGAGAGUGGCCGACCAACUGGCCGCUCCACUGCUUGACCUCUGACCCUGACCAGCUGCUCUGACCUUCCCAACCACAUUCCCCUGAUAAGACAGGAAGAUAAAGAGAGAGGAGGGGGGGAAGAAAGAGGGGGGGUCCAGAGCUGUGGAAAGGGAAGAUGGAAGGGGAAGGGGUGAGAGAAGGGGGAGGUGUGCAUAGAGAGGUUGAGGUAAGGCAGGGGUGGAAGAGGGAGAAGAGGGUAGGGUGGAGAGGAGAAGAGAGACUGAGUGGGUGAGAUAGGAGAGAGGGAAAUGGACGGUGGGUGAGAGAUAAGAGAGGAAGAUAGAUGAGGCAAAGAGGAAGAGAGAGAGAGUGGGUUGAGAGAGGGGAGAGGAAGAGAGGAGGUAAGGGGGAGGAUAAGUGUGCAUUUCAGCUUUCAGGCGGGCUGCCCUGGAGGCAGUGUUAUCAGACCUGUCACUACACACUGAUAGGACACAGUGUUCUGGUUGUCCCCGGCUCCAAACAACACAUGUAAGGACUCAGCAUUUGUGCCUCCAGUGAUAGUGAGGAAGAUACUGGAGAUAAGAGUGUUGGAUUAAUUGGUGUCUCGCUCACAUGAACUCACACACUCAGACACACACACACACACACAACCACACAGAUUCACAAAUACAUUCAGACACACACACUCACUCCCCAGACAUACCUCCCAUAUUCCCACACACUGACCUCACAAACAGACUCAGAGAGCGUCCCUGAUGUAUCAUGCAUUGUGCAACAUUAGGAGUGUACUGCAUCACUGUAUCAGUCCAGAGGAGAUAGAGUCAUGAAGACAAAGGGAACGCAGCCAGUGGUCUCUGACAGUUACAUGUGAGUUAUUGCGGGUUGAGAUGAUUGUAAAUCAACGCUGUUUCCAGGCCUGUGACGGAGUUAGGAGUGUAGAACUGUAUUUGCCAGGGAAUGCAUCGGCCCAGUACAGGGAGUUAAAAUAUGCUCUGGUGUCCUGGCUUGUACACAAACACGCACACACACACACGCGCACACACACACACACACACACACACACAAACACGCACACACACACACGCGCACACACACACACACACACACACACACACACAUACACACACACAC